UACGUAGGGUGCAAGCGUUAAUCGGAAUUACUGGGCGUAAAGCGUGCGCAGGCGGCUUUGCAAGACAGAUGUGAAAUCCCCGGGCUUAACCUGGGAACUGCAUUUGUGACUGCAUGGCUAGAGUACGGUAGAGGGGGAUGGAAUUCCGCGUGUAGCAGUGAAAUGCGUAGAUAUGCGGAGGAACACCGAUGGCGAAGGCAAUCCCCUGGACCUGUACUGACGCUCAUGCACGAAAGCCAGGGGAGCAAACGGG
rnacentral:rRNA from 1 species